rnacentral:rRNA from 1 species
UACAGAGGUCUCGAGCGUUGUUCGGAUUUAUUGGGCGUAAAGGGUGCGUAGGCGGUGUGGCAAGUCAAGUGUGAAAUCUCGGAGCUUAACUCUGAAACUGCACUUGUUACUGCCGUGCUAGAGGGUUGUAGAGGAGAUCGGAAUUCACGGUGUAUCAGUGAAAUGCGUAGAUAUCAAGAGGAACACCAGUGGCGAAGGCGAGUCCCUGGACAACACCUGACACUGAGGCACGAAAGCUAGGGGAGCAAACAGG